GCUAGUAGCACAGUGGUUAAGAUUUUGGCUGCUAACCAAAAGGUUGGUAGUUCAAAUCUACCAGCU
rfam:Loxodonta africana unplaced genomic scaffold scaffold_21, whole genome shotgun sequence.